UGUAACCUGUUGUUGGCGGGGUUUGUGUUUCUGUUCAUGCCAAGUCAAGUCUUUCUUCAUUUGUUUGGAUUACUUUUGCACUUGGGUUCAUCUUAAACUCACCUUCAGUGGACUAAUUAUUACAGAAUACUCUGUACCAUGAACUCAGCAGCUUCAAGUAUCCUCCGCGUAUGUCAAGAUGAGGAGCCCCCUAACUCUGCAAAAAACUCUGCACCAGAGCAUUUUUUUUACUUUGGGGGGGAGACUAUAGUACCCAAGCUCCUUCAUUAUGUGGAGCUUGGGCCAGAACUGAUUGCCAGUUUAAUGGAUCCACCAUUGAUGUCGGUGUGAGCAGCUGGCAUCCCCAGGGCCUCAGCACAUGGAGACCGUUCCUCUAUCCUCAGUACUUUUGGUUAUGGAGGUAGCCAUCCUGAGUGUUUGGGCUGCUCACUGAACUUUAGAGGCCUCUCCCGUCCACGGGUCUGCUUUAGAGAUGGUGGCAUCAGCUGCAGAACCUCUAGAAGUGGUGGUGUUCGCUUCUAAACUCUCUGCCUCUCCUGCCACAGCCACUGAGGCCGUUCAUGAACUCUGUCCGCCCUGUCACAACCAUGGAGGACGUCCAUGAACUCUCUGCCUGUAACGUUACUGCCACAGAGGCCACUGUUAACCUCUCUGCUGUGGUGGUAAUUUGUUCCACUGUGGGGAUCUUUGCUCCUGGAUGCUUUGCUAACCUGGUGGUCCUCUGCUCCACCAUGGCUUCCUGCUCCGCCAUGGCCCCAUGCUCCUCUGGAUCUGACAUGGUGGUCUCCUGCUCCACUCUUCCACAGUCUACCUUUGCUCCAUGGCCAAGGUCCUCUAUUGUUCCACUGUCUGCCUCUGCUACAUGGCCUGGACCUCCAGUGCUUCACUGUCUGCAAUUUCUCCAUGGUCCAGGCCCACCUCUGCUCCACAGCCUAGGCCUGCCUCUGCUUCAUGGCCCUGGUUCACCAUGGCUUCACUGCCCAGGUCUGCCCUCGCCCAUGGCCCAUGGUUCAUGGUUCAUGUCUUCAUUUCAUGUUUUCAUGUCUUUAUUUUGAUAUUUUGGUUCCUGUGUCAUGUUCUCAUUGGUUGGUUAUUGUCAUGUGACCUGUAUUGUCUGGUAUACAGUAAAUAGCCUUCAUGUUGCC